rnacentral:rRNA from 1 species
GACGAACGCUGGCGGCGUGCUUAACACAUGCAAGUCGAACGGAAAGGCCUGCUUUCCCUUGUGGAUUGCGGGUACUCGAGUGGCGAACGGGUGAGUAACACGUGAGUGAUCUGCCCCCAACUUGGGUAUAAGCCUGGGAAACUGGGUCUAAUUCCCGAUAGGACUGCAGGGUGGUGCCUGUGGUGGAAAACGAUUUUCUAGUGGUUGGGGAUGAGCUCGCGGCCUAUCAGCUUGUUGGUGGGGUAAUGGCCUACCAAGGCGGCGACGGGUAGCCGGCCUGAGAGGGUGGACGGCCACAUUGGGACUGAGAUACGGCCCAGACUCCUACGGGAGGCAGCAGUGGGGAAUAUUGCACAAGGGGCGGAAGCCUGAUGCAGCGACGCCGCGGGGGGGAUGACGGCCUUCGGGUUGUAAACUCCUUUCGACCGCGAGGAAGCCACCUGGUUGGAAGGGUGGUGACGGUAGUGGUAGAAGAAGCACCGGCUAACUACGUG